rnacentral:sRNA from 1 species
UCCAUAGGACAAGACGCUGAGGUCAUCUGUUUAUCGACAGGACAGGGAGGAGCCAGGGCCUCUGCAGCCAGCUAUUUUCCACACCAUUCUGCUGGUCACCCUCAGCCCUGCACCAGCAAGAAGAGGAAGUUGAACUCAGCCUCCCUUCUGACUUACCUUUUUAU